rnacentral:misc_RNA from 1 species
GUGCGUGCAGCUUUCAAGUCGCCAUUUUGAGUAAAAGCGUGUACGAGUGGAAGACGAUCAAAAAUGAAUCAAACAAACCAAAUGCCUGGUAAUAAGAAUGGGGCAAGUGGUCCUCCCAUUGACAACGAUCUUUUGGAAGUUCUUAAGUUGGAGAGAGAGAGCAUUGGUGACACAACAUUUCCGAACGCGGCUCGUCUGCUAGACAAAGAAAUUGAGCAAGUUAGCAGAGGGAAGCUCUCAGACUUCUUAGAUGUUACUUCUGACUCUAAGAAGUGCAAACUGAACUCAAAAGUAUACAUUCCACACAAAGAAUUCCCAAAGUUUAACUUUGUUGGGAAGCUUUUGGGACCUAAAGGAUUGUCUCUAAAAAGACUUCAGGAAGACACGGGUACAAAAAUGUCAAUCCUUGGAAAAGGUUCAAUGAGAGACAAAAAUAAGGAGGAAGAGUGUCGGAAAGAGGGUGGCAAGUACGCACAUUUGAAUGAAGAACUCCAUGUGCUGGUGGAGGUGUUUGCUCCUCCUGCAGAAGCUUACUCUAGACUGUCACAUGCUAUGGCUGAACUAAGGAAGUACUUAACCCCAGAAUACAAUGAUGAGAUCCGACAGGAACAGUUCCAGGAGCUGAUGAACUUGGGUGACCCAGGCAGUGCCGGGGCUCCAAGAGGAAGAGGAGGAAGAGGACGUGGCAUGCCUGGUGGACCAGCCCCCAGAGGAAGAGGGGCUAUGGGUGGGGGUCCAAUGGGAAGGGGAAGUGCAUUGGGGCGUGGUGGUAUACCUGCUGGACGUGGGGCAUCACGAGGGGGAUUGUUGUCUGGGCGUGGUGCGAUGGGUGGGGGUAUGGUGCCUCCACCAGCACCUACACCAUUAGUUGGAAGAGGAGCCCUUGCUAGAGAGCCAGACUAUGAUGAUGGUUAUGGUGCUGGUUAUGAUGAUGCCUAUGGAGAAAGCAGCUACAGUGCAGGGGGAAGAGAUGCUUAUGAGGAGGAUUACUCUGCAGGAGGUGCAAGUGACACACAGUACUUUGAUUAUGGACAUGGGUCUACCGCAACAAGGGACAGAUAUGAUGAUGCAGGAUAUGGUGAUUCGUGGGGAUCUGGAAGCCUAGGAGGUGGUCGUGGUAGUGGUAGCACAUACAAAGCUCCAACAAGUCUUAGAGCAGCACCAAGGCAACACCCAUAUGGGCGGGGUUACUAAAGCUGGCAGCCCAUGUUUGGCACCUGCCUGUGGACCUGUGUCUGCUAUUGAAGACUACCUAGGAAGCUAUGUUGGCAAUGGCACAUCAGAGGGUCCAUAAAUUCUUUUCCCUUGUGAGAUGGAAAUGUGACUCCUGUCACCACAUGGCCUACGCUGGUGUGACCCACUUGUCUGAGAGAUCUUGACAUCAAUGCCAAAAAAACUUGCAAACUGUGAUGCAUGAGACUGGAUGAUGUUGAUGCAUUGAAUGUAUUACGUCUUUCAAACUGCGCUGUAAUAAGAUCGAUGCAGUUUUACAUUUUGGGUGCCCAGAAUUGAUAACUUUUCCUUUCUAUAGAAUUUUAACAAAUUUUAGUGUAAAUCCAUACAAAAUUGAUAAGUGGACAAAAUUUUUCGUCCAGUAUAAUGUGGGCAAUUUUAGAACAAAAAAGCAACAGUAUUACUAAGCUCUUCCUGGGGUUUGAUCUAUUGUUAAUUUCUCCCACUUUCAAACUUCAUGUCCACUGCUUUAUUUAUUAUUACUUAUUUUUUUCCAUUUACAAAUUACAAGAGUAGGGAAAAUUCAUGGGAAAAAAUACCCUCGUCUACCAACAUCAAUUUUUUUCUAGGCUAAUGUAAACUUUAAUGUAAAAACUAUAUAUUUUUAUUUUUGAUAUUUUUACAAGUAAAAGUCCUUUAAACUGU